GUGAGGAAUAUUGGUCAAUGGGCGCAAGCCUGAACCAGCCAUGCCGCGUGCAGGAAGACGGUCCUAUGGAUUGUAAACUGCUUUUAUUUGGGAAUAAACUCCGGUACGUGUACCGGCCUGAAGGUACCAAAUGAAUAAGCACCGGCUAACUCCGUGCCAGCAGCCGCGGUAAUACGGAGGGUGCAAGCGUUAUCCGGAAUAAUUGGGUUUAAAGGGUCCGCAGGCGGUCUUAUAAGUCAGUGGUGAAAGCCUACAGCUCAACUGUAGAACUGCCAUUGAUACUGUAGGACUUGAAUUCGAUCGAAGUGGGCGGAAUGUGACAUGUAGCGGUGAAAUGCUUAGAUAUGUCACAGAACACCGAUAGCGAAGGCAGCUCACUAGGUCUGGAUUGACGCUCAGGGACGAAAGCGUGGGGAGCAAACAGGAUUAGAAACCCGGGUAGUCC
rnacentral:rRNA from 1 species